CCCUUGUCCUUAUUUGCCAGCGGGUCAGGCCGGGAACUUUAGGGAGACUGCCGGUGACAAACCGGAGGAAGGUGGGGAUGACGUCAAGUCAUCAUGGCCCUCACGGGGUGGGCUACAAACGUGCUACAAUGGGCGGCACAGAGGGCUGCGAACCAGCAAUGGCAAGCGAAUCCCAAAAAACCGCUCGUAGUCCGGAUAGGAGUCUGCAACUCGACUCCUUGAAGUCGGAAUCGCUAGUAAUCGCGAAUCAGAAUGUCGCGGUGAAUACGUUCCCGGGCCUUGUACACA
rnacentral:rRNA from 1 species